CCAAAAUAAACCACAUCCAAACAGUUAUCACAGUGAUAGGGGGAGACUUCAAUCACAUAAUAGACCCGCAACUAGACACAACCCUACCACCCCACCGGAAACAUCACCGCCCCUAAAAAGACAAUGAAGAGCUAUAGCGAAACUCCUACACGAUUACCAUCUAUAUGAUGCUUGGAGAAUCACACACCCGACAGAAAGGGUAUAUACCCACUACUCAGCUGUACAUAAUUCCUACUCUAAAAUAGACGGAUUCCUUAUCUCAGACUCAGCGCUAGACCAACUCCUACACAGUGACAUACAGCAAAUCACAUGGUCCGACCAUGCACCAGUAACCAUAGAAUUAAAAAAUAAUUACGACUUUAAAC